UACGUAGGGGGCAAGCGUUGUCCGGAUUUAUUGGGCGUAAAGAGCGUGUAGGCGGCCAUACAGGUCCGUUGUGAAAACUGGAGGUUUAACCUCCAGACGUCGAUGGAAACCGUAUGGCUAGAGUCCGGAAGAGGAGAGUGGAAUUCCUGGUGUAGCGGUGAAAUGCGCAGAUAUCAGGAAGAACACCCGUGGCGAAGGCGGCCCCCUGGGCCGUACCUGACGCUGAGGCGCGAAGGCUAGGGGAGCGAACGGG
rnacentral:rRNA from 1 species